UGUAGACAUGGCAGACAGAUUUCACAGACAUGGAGCAUAAGUUCACACAAAGAAGUCCUGAAGAUGCUGGGGCUGGACAGUGUGAAAGUAAAAACAAACAAAAGAAAGAAAAAAAGCAAAAUCCAAAACACCAUGAAUCUCAGUAUAAAUCAGUGAAAUAUGAUUCUUCAGAUAAUGAAUUGUUUCCUCGUGCAUCAUCUUCCUCAGGAUGCCAGACAGAUUCAAGCAAUGAAGAGAUUACCAAGGGAAAAAUUAAGAGAAAGAGAAAAGACAAAAAGAAUAAAUGGAAAAGAGAAGGAAAGGAAUCUUCUGAGACAUCCAUCAUCCUCUCUGGUCCACAGUCAUUGAUCCACACCAUUUGCCACUGAGAUGUCAUCAUUUCUGAUUGCCUAUUUCUUCAGGAUAAAAGAUAACAUCAAGAAAGAGAAAAAGAAGGAAAAAAGGGGAAACGAUUACAUAUGUCAUCCUUUUAAGAGGGGCUGAAACCAGGUGAACCUUUUGAUUUCCAAACUUCAGACUUUGGUGCAAGCUAAUCAAAUGAGGAUGCAAAUUCCAGCACUGUGAAACCAACAGAAACAUCAAAGAACUCAAAGAAACGAACAUCUCUUGCACCAAGUCUAGACUCUCAAAACCAAUCCAUGUCCUCUGUAACCACACAAUAAAGAGUUUGGAAAUCAUA